rnacentral:piRNA from 1 species
AUCUUGUGUUGAGACUUCGUGGUGGUAGGA